rnacentral:rRNA from 1 species
UACGUAGGGGGGCUAGCGUUGUCCGGAAUCAUUGGGCGUAAAGAGCGUGUAGGCGGUCCGGUAAGUCCGCUGUGAAAGUCGGGGGCUCAACCCUCGAAUGCCGGUGGAUACUGUCGGGCUAGAGUGCGGAAGAGGCGAGUGGAAUUCCUGGUGUAGCGGUGAAAGUGCGCAGAUAUCGAGGAGGAACACCUAUUGCGAAGGCAGCUCUCUGGGACGGUACUGACGCUGAGACGCGAAAGCGUGGGAGCGAACGG